rnacentral:rRNA from 1 species
UAGGGAAUCUUCCACAAUGGACGCAAGUCUGAUGGAGCAACGCCGCGUGAGUGAAGAAGGUUUUCGGACCGUAAAGCUCUGUUGUUGGUGAAGAAGGAUAGAGGUAGUAACUGGCCUUUAUUUGACGGUAAUCAACCAGAAAGUCACGGCUAACUACGUGCCAGCAGCCGCGGUAAUACGUAGGUGGCAAGCGUUGUCCGGAUUUAUUGGGCGUAAAGCGAGCGCAGGCGGAAGAAUAAGUCUGAUGUGAAAGCCCUCGGCUUAACCGAGGAAUUGCAUCGGAAACUGUUUUCUUGAGUGCAGAAGAGGAGAGUAGAACUCCAUGUGCAGCGGUGGAAUGCGUAGAUAUAUGGAAGAAUACCAGUGGCGAAGGCGGCUCUCUGGUCUGCAACUGACGCUGAGGCUCGAAAGCAUGGGUAGCGAACAGGAUUAGAUACCCUGGUAGUCCAUGCCGUAAACGAUGAGUGCUAAGUGUUGGGAGGCUUCCGCCUCUCAGUGCUGCAGCUAACGCAUUAAGCACUCCGCCUGGGGGAGUACGACCGCAAGGUUGAAAC